AGUGAACGCUGGCGGUAGGCCUAACACAUGCAAGUCGAACGGCAGCACAGUAAGAGCUUGCUCUUACGGGUGGCGAGUGGCGGACGGGUGAGGAAUACAUCGGAAUCUACUUUUUCGUGGGGGAUAACGUAGGGAAACUUACGCUAAUACCGCAUACGUCCUACGGGUGAAAGCAGGGGAUCUUCGGACCUUGCGCGAUUGAAUGAGCCGAUGUCGGAUUAGCUAGUUGGCGGGGUAAAGGCCCACCAAGGCGACGAUCCGUAGCUGGUCUGAGAGGAUGAUCAGCCACACUGGAACUGAGACACGGUCCAGACUCCUACGGGAGGCAGCAGUGGGGAAUAUUGGACAAUGGGCGAAAGCCUGAUCCAGCCAUACCGCGUGAGUGAAGAAGGCCUUCGGGUUGUAAAGCCCUUUUGUUGGGAAAGAAAAGCAGCAGGUUAAUACCCCGCUGUUCUGACGGUACCCAAAGAAUAAGCACCGGCUAACUUCGUG
rnacentral:rRNA from 1 species